AAGUCGUAACAAGGUUUCCGUAGGUGAACCUGCGGAAGGAUCAUUAGUGAAUUCAAACUUCUCGGAAGGCAGAAGUGCCGGACGAGUGCGGUAGGGGGGUCCCUUGCGGCCCUCCCGUGGAAUACACGUCCAUAACACCUGUGAACUGUCUGUCAAGGCCCAUCGGCUUUGGCCCCCUGGACUUGCACUCUAUAAACUUACUCUGUAAAAAAUGUCGAAAUACGAAAACAAAAUAAAACUUUUAACAACGGAUCUCUUGGCUCUC
rnacentral:misc_RNA from 1 species